UACAGAGGGUGCGAGCGUUAAUCGGAAUUACUGGGCGUAAAGAGCUCGUAGGCGGCUUGUCACGUCGGAUGUGAAAGCCCGGGGCUUAACCCCGGGUCUGCAUUCGAUACGGGCAGGCUAGAGUGUGGUAGGGGAGAUCGGAAUUCCUGGUGUAGCGGUGAAAUGCGCAGAUAUCAGGAGGAACACCGGUGGCGAAGGCGGAUCUCUGGGCCAUUACUGACGCUGAGGAGCGAAAGCGUGGGGAGCGAACAGG
rnacentral:rRNA from 1 species